GAUGACCGCUGACAGAAUGCUUAACACAUGCAAAUCAACAUGAAUUUGGGUUUUUAUCUUAAGUUUGGGUGGCGGACGGGUGAGUAACGCGUAAAGAACUUGCCUCACAGCUAGGGACAACAUUUGGAAACGAAUGCUAAUACCUAAUAUUAUGAUAAUAGGGCAUCCUAUAAUUAUGAAAGCUAUAAGCGCUGUGAGAGAGCUUGCGUCCCAUUAGCUAGUCGGAGAGGUAACGGCUCACCAAGGCGAUGAUGGGUAGCCGGCCUGAGAGGGUGAUCGGCCACAAGGGGACUGAGACACGGCCCUUACUCCUACGGGAGGCAGCAGUGGGGAAUAUUGGACAAUGGACCAAGAGUCUGAUCCAGCAAUUCUGUGUGCACGAUGAAGUUUUUCGGAAUGUAAAGUGCUUUCAGUUGGGAAGAAAGAAAUGACGGUACCAACAGAAGAAGUGACGGCUAAAUACGUGCCAGCAGCCGCGGUAAUACGUAUGUCACGAGCGUUAUCCGGAUUUAUUGGGCGUAAAGCGCGUCUAGGUGGUUAUGUAAGUCUGAUGUGAAAAUGCAGGGCUCAACUCUGUAUUGCGUUGGAAACUGUAUAACUAGAGUACUGGAGAGGUAAGCGGAACUACAAGUGUAGAGGUGAAAUUCGUAGAUAUUUGUAGGAAUGCCGAUGGGGAAGCCAGCUUACUGGACAGAUACUGACGCUGAAGCGCGAAAGCGUGGGUAGCAAACAGG
rnacentral:rRNA from 1 species